GACUCUGUAGUGAAGUUCAUGUUGAGUUGCAAGCUCAUCGAUAUGUGUUUGAAGCACAUCAGGGUCU
rnacentral:tRNA from 1 species